AGCCUUUCAUGGUGCUAACAUGGCUUAUUGUGGCUCCAGUUGUUGGAACAGUUUUGGUCGUUACAUCAUUCAUAUCUGCAGAGCAACAGUCGGAGACCAAAGAUGCUGUCGAAGGCACUUUGAUAGCCAUCAUUUUAAUAGCCAUGUUUGGAUUUUUUGUUUAUAUUCCCCUCAAAUAUUACCAGACGAUGAUUUAGUUUGUAAUUUUAUUCAAAUUUAUGUGAAUGUAAUAAAUCCUUGUCAGUGUCUGGAAUCCCUACUCCGGAAUGUGCUUGUCGGUGAGUCGCCAGAGUAAAUGCUAUGCGAUCGCCACAUGUGUUUAUUUCUAUGGACUGCUGGACAUUGCGGUGAAGGUCUACUGUCUCGCCUAUGAUGGAUUUAAGCAACGUUUAUAAUCGUUGGACUCUCGGCCUGGCUGCCGAUUCUGCUAGCCGCCACUUUGCUCUUUUCGGGCGCCAGUCAGGCAAGUUCAAGGGACACUCUCAACUCCCCACUA